AACUUUUAACAACGGAUCUCUUGGUUCUCGCAUCGAUGAAGAACGUAGCAAAGUGCGAUAACUAGUGUGAAUUGCAUAUUCAGUGAAUCAUCGAGUCUUUGAACGCAACUUGCGCUCAUUGGUAUUCCAAUGAGCACGCCUGUUUCAGUAUCAAAAC
rnacentral:rRNA from 2 species